AAGGAGAUGGAUUUGGCAGUAGGAUCUGGAAAGUUUGGCGCGGUGGCAAUCUGCGAGAUGUAGGAUCUGGCUAAGUACAGGGCCAGUUUCCCUCCAGUCCUAUAAGGCUCUCUCUCGGAGCUUGGAAGUUUUCAUGCUCCAGGCAGCUUUUGACUGGUUGUGGUGGCAUCAUAAAUGAGUUUCCAUAGUAAGUUGUAUGCGGAAAAAGGAAAUUAAAUUCCGAGAGGGUGUUUUGUUGUGACUGAUGCCAGAAUUUCUCUGAGAAUUUUAUUAAGAUUCAGUCAGUCUAUAAAAGUACUUUUUAGUUCUCUGAAGAUAUUAAUUAAAAAAUGGUUAAAAAAAAAAAAAAGCCAGAAGUGUCUCCUUUGUGAGCUUUUGAAAUGUAAUCUUCCUAAAUCUUUGGGGGAAAAAAAUGAAGUCUAAAAAAAAACCACAGAGCUGUAUGUUUUAAGAGCAGUUCCUUCAAAGUAAUGUUUUCCUUCUCUUCCUGUCCUUUCUCCUCCUCUCACAUUAUUGUGAUUGUUGAUUUUGUUUUUACGUUUAUGACCUUUUUUUUUUUUGCUUUUUAGGGCCGCACGCAUGGCAUGUGGAGGUUCCCAGCCUAGGGGUCUAAUCAGAGCUGCAGCUGCCCGUCUACACCACAGCCACGCCAGACCUACACUGCAGCUCAUGGCAAAGCUGGAUCCUUAACCCACUGAGCGAGGCCAGUGAUCAAACCUGCAACCUCCUGGUUCCUAAUUGGAUUCAUUUCUGCUGCGCCACAACGGGAACUCCAAUUUUUUUUUUUUUUUGAUGUUGAAUGUGCCUUCUUUUCUCCUGAGUUUACUCAUCUUCUUUCAUCAAGAAGGGGGAGCACGGUGAGGCAGUGAAGAGCACGGGGUCCGGAGCCAGGCUGGGGACAGCAAGGGUCAUGGUGGUUCUUGGAGAGCCGGGCUCUCCUCUGCUUGGAUUCACCAACCCCUACCCCAGAGGCUCUUGAGGGCAAUUAUUAUUCUGUCACACCGAUGAGGGAACGGGCACAGAAGUGCCUGUGUCCACACAGCCAGUGAGGGGGUGGCCUUGGUGGCAGCUGUGAUCCCUGUGACUCCACCGCAGGGCUAGGCAGAGGUCCUGCUCCCCUGCCAGGGUGGGCUCCGUCCUAUAGGCAGGGGCUUCGUUAAGUGAGAGGGUCAGGACUGUGGUUUUGAAAGGUGGCCUCAUGGGCAGUGUGCAGUAUGACAUGAGCAGCACGGAAAUGGGCAUGAGACAGGACGGGGGCUUGAACUGAAGCCGGCGGCAGUGGUGACAGAGCAAAGGGGACAGGUUGGCAUGGGUGCUGCUCAGUCCUCUGGAUUGGGGCCCAGAGAGGGAGGAGGUGAGUCUGGGAGCACUUUCCUCUCCUCAGCCUUCCCUACUGCUGGUUUUCAUGCCCGCAGGCUGGGUGGUUAUUGGAGAUACUCUGUGUAGACUGAAAGCAGUCUCUUUAGGAAUCAAGGUCACCUCCUUUGUGCCCUGUGACAGCCAGAGAAAGGUGCCUGUGCAAAACCCCAAAGCGUCUUCCCCGGUCUUUGCCCACCUGCUCUGGCCUUAUCGUUUGCCCCUUUCCUGGAGCAUCUCAGGAUGGAAUUCAGGUUCUCAGACCCCAGUUAGGGAAAUACCGGUUUGAACAUUCAAACUUAAACUGAAAGUAUUGAAAGGAAAAAGCCCCUAAAGAAGGAAGCCUCUCUGGGGUGUAGGGGGUGCCCCACCGUUCCCCAGUGGACCCCCCCAGGGGCUGUGGUCCUCAGUUCUGGCUGUUCCCCAAGGGCUGAGCUGCCUCUAGGCAGGGGCUGGGGUGACUUGUGGUCACCAGGCAUGACGGGCUGGUGGGGGAAGGGGAGGUGGUGAACGUGGGCGAGUUCUCAGUGGUGGCCUGCCUGGCCAGGAGGUGAGACCACCCUCCCCUGAAGGGUGCAGCUUCCGUGGAGAGCCAGGCUCUACUCAGGAGCACCAGAGUCAGAGCAAGGGGAUGUGGUUGGUCCCUGGUUGCUAGUAUGCACGCGUCCCCAUCAUAGGCUGCGCUCAUGCCAUGUCAGGAAUGUGCUGGUCCUGUGCCCUCUCCCCUGGUCAGUGCCAGAGUCCCUAAUAAACUUGCCCAGGCCUCGGUCUUCCAGACCGCAUAGUGCCCAGAUUCGUCAGAGAGUUUGUUCUUGCUGGGCUCCAGCCAGUUGGUCGGGUCCAGCUCUGCUUGGGCCGUGACCUCCUUGCGAGGAGGCCAAGAGUCACUUUAUCGGCCUGCCCGCUUCCCGCAUCCACAGGCACAGCCAACUCUGCAGUGAGUCGGUGUACAUGACUCUGUUCCCCCACUGUUUGAUGGUCACCCCUUUCCCUCCAAGAUGUGACUUCCUUUCCGUGUCCCAAGGGUGGCCCCCAGCCAGGGACCGUUCAAGUGCCCAUUGAGUUUGGCGCCUAACACGGUGCCCAAUUCAGUGAGAGGGGAGCGUGUUUUGCCUGGGGGUGUUCACUGUCAGCCUCCGUCCUGAACAUCAGGUCCUAAGCAGAGCCCCUCUUUUCCUGCUUUGCUCCAUGUUUAGCUGCAUGUGUGUGUUUAUUUUAAUUAUUACUGGG
rnacentral:lncRNA from 1 species